rnacentral:rRNA from 1 species
GACGAACGCUGGCGGCGUGCUUAACACAUGCAAGUCGAACGAAGAGCGAUGGAACCUUGCUUCUAUCAAUCUUAGUGGCGAACGGGUGAGUAACGCGUAAUCAACCUGCCCUUCAGAGGGGGACCACAGUUGGAAACGACUGCUAAUACCGCAUACGAUCUAAUCUCGGCAUCGAGGAUAGAUGAAAGGUGGUCUCUACAUGUAAGCUAUCACUGAAGGAGGGGAUUGCGUCUGAUUAGCUAGUUGGAGGGGUAACGGCCCACCAAGGCGAUGAUCAGUAGCCGGUCUGAGAGGAUGAACGGCCACAUUGGGACUGAGACACGGCCCAGACUCCUACGGGAGGCAGCAGUGGGGAAUCUUCCGCAAUGGACGAAAGGCUGACGGAGCAACGCCGCGGGAGGGAUGAAGGCCUUCGGGUUGUAAAGCUCGGUUAAUCGGGAAGAAAGGCCUUCUUGCGAAUAGGGAGAAGGAUUGACGGUACCGGAAGAGAAAGCCACGGCUAACUACGUG